CUGACCGAGGCGUGUGAGUUCUGACACGGCCCAGAGAGGCCAGGAUGGCUGCUGUCGGCCUUGUUCUCAUUACUCUGCUGAGACGGGGCCUUGAUCACAUUACCCAUCAUUCAGGCUCCCCAGGGGAUCAGCCUCUGGUUCCGAGGGCACAAGGUAAACCCGGGGAGGUCUUAGCAACGCCUAUCACUGUCGACCCCCGGGGAACUUGCCGAAUGUAAGGCAUUCGCGCUCCGUCUCCCACCGGACCCCGGGGCAGGCAGCGAGCCCGCCCCCCACCAGUGCACCUCGCGGUGCCAAAGGAAAGGCGCCUCAUGCUAUUAGCUCAAAUAAGGAAAAUCAUGCUGGGGAGAUUGAAUUUUCUGCAGAGCUGGUGAAACUCGGUGAUUUCUGAACACGUGGUGCUGGCAGGCGUGGGGACGUGGGCUGCCAGCCUGCGAUUUAUCAGCCGAUUCUGGAGUCUAUGCACAGGUUUAUUAAAUCAGCAUGAGUCCCUCUCCUGCCUUCCUUGCAAAUGUGAAUCGCAAAUCGCCAAAACCCAGAGAACACACGUGACCCGAGAGUUUCUUCUUGGGGCCUGGAGCAUCUAGAGAGCUGGGGGAAGAGUGCUGUCAGUGGGAGGUCUCCACCAGCCGGCGGAACGCCCAGGCCAGGCAGAGAGAAGCAGCUAGGUGGGGUGCCCAGAGCACAGGUGCAGGCGGGGCACAGACCGGGGCCCACCUCCGCCCUUACGGGCUCAUCCGCUCAGUCCUGCCUGUGCCAGGCAGUGGGCUGUGCAUGGGGCACUCGGCCCAGAGAAGGACUUACCCCAGGUUCAGCCCUCACAGAGCUUAUGGUCUCAUCAAAGUUUUUGGAGCGAUUGGAACUGUGUUUCUAUCACUGGCCUCGCUGGAAAACGUGGGACACAUCAUUUCACUUCUCUGAACCUCAGUUUCCCCAUUCUGCCACCUACAGGCAGAAGAGUAAAUCAAAGGGACAUCAAGUCCCGCACGUGGUGCCUGGCUCAUCAUUCCUGCUGAACCAGCAUCUGCCACUUCUCUGGAAAGAAGGCAGUGACGAGUGACAUCCUACCGAAACCAGGGGGUCCUCUCCCCAUCCGAUCCCUACCAACCCUCCCGGUUAUGCCCAGACAACUGGGAGCCCGGACACCAGGCUCAGCCCCCUGGAGGCGGUGUGCUGGCACCCACGCAGCUCCGGCUGGAGAGAGCAGUUCUGCCCUGGGGCACCUGCCCAGGACUCCUGCCCCCUGGAGCCUCAGUUUCAGGCCAUCCUUCCUGGCAAUCUACAGCAGCACUUCUUUCUCCCUCGGUCUUUCGGCCAGUAGGUCCUGAGCACACUCUCAGCCUCCAGUCGUCGCCUCUCUACAAAAUGACCAAGAUGGCAAUGAGAAGCUUCCUCGCUACAGCCAGGGCGUCCUGCCACCCUGGCCCACCUUCCGCAGGUCGAGGGCCAAAGACCCGAGAUUUCCCUUUAAUGCCCCCGCUGGGUUGCCUACUCCCCAGCAAACUUCGCUCCUGGACUCUUGGGCUUUCAGUCCCAGGCGCCCUGGACCAUCACCUCUGGGGCACAGAGCUCUCUGUCUUGGCCUGGGAGCAGGUGGAUUCACUCCUCCCCAUGGGACCUGAAGAGAGUGAGCCUAUCAAAGCCAGAGCCCUCCCCGCCCCCGCUGGAGGGUCACCAUUGUUGAGGACCCAAGAAACUGGCUCAACUUAACAAGUUUUAGGAAGCAGUGAGUCCUUACAUGCCUGAGACCAGGGUCUCCGAGAGAAUCUAACAGCUGUGUGGACCCUCUGCCCAGAAAAGCUCACAUGACACUUUUCAUCCAACCUCACGGGGAGCUCAGAUGAAGACAUUCUAUCAUCAAAGUUCCCCAACGCAAGACAACCAAGGCAGCCAAGCAAUCCCCAGGCAGCUAUUACUCUCCCAGCCACCUAGUCCCUGGAUGGCACAAAGAUGGAGCCAGGCCUGUGGCCAGAACAGUCCAGCCACUCCCUCUGGACCCCUCUGAAGUCUCUGAUCUCAAGACCCUGGCUUGUCAGUGUCCUGGUGGGAUGCCCUCUCCAACCUUCCAUUUUCCUGCCUGUACACGAAGGCUGUCAGAACAGGAGGGGAACACAACCUUCAUAAGAAUGACACCGCCAUUGAGGACAGGACUGGCAUACACGGGUUAGAACCAACUAGUUCCAAGCUGGCGGAAGAUUCCACUUCCAGUAGACCUUGAAAAUCAUUACACGUUCAUUAUAACCCAUUAGCUAAAUGGCACGCCCACCGGCACCAAGACACUUCUGAGGCCAACCCUAAAAGUCCAAAAAGUAGGCAGUGGCUCUGUUCCUGGAAAUCCUUGGAAUUUAAUAGUUGGAAUAGUCCUCCCACUCAUUAGCCUAUGAAAUUACCCAGUCCAUAAAAACUAACCUCCCCCGGAGUUCCCGCUGUGACUCAGUGGAAACAAAUCUGACUAGCAUCCAUGAGGACACAGGUUCCAUCCCUGGCCUUGCUCAGCGGGUUAAGGAUCUGGCGUGGUUGUGAGCUGUGGUGUAUGUCACAGACAAGGCUUGGAUCCUAAGCUGCUGUGGCUGUAGUAUGUGCUGGCAGCUACAGCUCUGAUUCAAGCCCUAGCCUGGGAACUUCCAUGUGCCAUUCAUGCAGCCCUAAAAG
rnacentral:lncRNA from 1 species